rnacentral:misc_RNA from 1 species
GAUGAAGAACGUAGCAAAAUGCGAUAAGUAAUGUGAAUUGCAGAAUUCAGUGAAUCAUCGAAUCUUUGAACGCACAUUGCGCCCGCCAGUAUUCUCGCGGGCAUGCCUGUUCGAGCGUCAUUUCAACCCUCAAGCACAGCUUGGUGUUGGGACUCGCGUUAAUUCGCGUUCCCCAAAUUGAUUGGCGGUCACGUCGAGCUUCCAUAGCGUAGUAGUAAAACCCUCGUUACUGGUAAUCGUCGCGGCCACGCCGAUAAACCCCAACUUAUGAAUGUUGACCUCGGAUCAGGUAGGAAUACCCGCUGAACUUAAGCAUAUCAAUAAGCGGAGGA